GCUGAAGUGCUGCCCUACGCAGCCCCACACCGGGGAAGGACCAGGCCCCAAAACAGCGACGGGUAAGUGAAAUGGUGGUACCGGUUCUCACAGAGUCUCAGGGCAGGAAGGGCGCCCCACCUGGAAUACACAGAUAAGCCCAUGUGAACACAGAGGGUCCCGAGGCGCGGACGGGGGGGCUCACUGACAUCCACCCCACACCUGCACUCACAGCCUCCAGACGGGGCAUCAGAUGAUCUACUACC